GUGCUUGCUUCAGCAGCACAUAUCUAAAAUUAGAAUACAGAGAUUAGCCUGACCCCUGUGCAAAGAUGACACGCAAAUUUGUGAAACAUUCCCUAUUUUU
rnacentral:snRNA from 1 species